CAGUGGGGCGGGGCGGGGCGGUUCCAGACCCGGGGGUUGCGGGUUCGAGUCCCGGGGCGGACACGUUUCUUCGCCGUGACACCCCGUUAUUGCCAUAACUAAUACCGGGGCCCAAAGAGGCAGAAAUACAGCUGCAGCCAUCCCAUCCGUGUGUGGUUAGGUAGCAAUACCUGGGAACAAAUCAUGUCUAACCUGCGGUGUGAUGUUGCUCACGGAGGCUGGUUUUCCAUUAUAUGUUAUCACGGUUACCUCUGUCUGCACCGGUUAACGCGAAAACGCCCAGCAAUGUUUCUCAGGCGCUCAAAUUUUGCUCGAAUUUUGCAAAUUUUAGCUGACAGAGCUGCAGCUCGCGAACCGCUGCCUCUGGGGGGCGGCAGUGUUUUAGAGAUGAAACUGAAGUGUUUUUUGGUGGUGGUUCCUUCCCCCUCCGUCCUGCAAGAUGGCAUGGCAGAGAAAUUAUUUUCUGGUUUCUCAUGUAGGUCCUCGUGUAGUCCUUCUUACAAGCUGCCUAUAUGGACUAGUCUAUAAAGUAUUUCUGCUAGAAACAUGAGGAAUAUGUGACUGCAACAUACUUUUCUUACUACAGCCUGCAUACAGAAUGUUCUUUAAAUGAGCACAGAAUGUGCUUCAGAAUGAAAGAUUCUCAGUGAAAGCUAGUAGUUAAAAUUAAUAUCCACUUGAUGUGAAAAUGGAACAAACAUCAGAAGGACCAAGCAUUUUGCUUGGCUAAAGAAACUGCAGUUCUCAAGAGGAGGAAUUUAUCUACGUUGGGAAUUUGUUAAUAGAUAAUUGAUGUAUACAAUGGAUAUGCAUAUACCAUUUGGAUUUUUUUUCUACUGUAGCUUCACGCAAUUUUUGGCAUUGUAAUCUUUCAAGAUGUCAAUGCUUCUUUAUACAUUUCAUGCGCUUAUAUGUAAAGUAUGUUUAAAUAAGCCACUGUUUUCAGUAGAUCCUGCUUUUUCAGUGAAACUCGCGUUUUGAAUAUUGUGGUUGUCAGAAUUCUGAAGCAGCAAUGCAAUAAAAGAAGUUGUAUAAGAUCUUUUAUAUACAGAAACCUAGAUGUACACUUUGCAUAUAUGUACAAGUGCUUUUCUCUGGUUACAGUGUUUGCAGUCUAGUGCUAGUAAUCUUUACUAUGAAAGGACUUUCUAUUUUUAAUCCUUUAGAUAAUUUUUCUUUAUAAAGAAAUAUAAUUAAAAGUGACUUUAUUGCGAACAGUUUUGAAGUGCUGAAAUUACACAUGCUGCCUAUUUUUCAAAGCCUGUUACUGCUAAUGAGUUUUUUAUCAUUAUUCUGCAAAGAAUGGUGAUGUUAUGAAUUGGUAUGUUAUAUUGUCAACAAGCAUUGUUUUUGAAGAAAAGGUUUGAAGAUAUUCAAAACUAUCACUGUUGCAACAAAUCUAUUGCUUUCUUUUAAAUAGUUGCGCCAUCCAUUACAGUCCUUUGAAUUCUGACAGUAAUUCAGGCAAACAGGAGGAACCAAAGACCAGAUGAUGCUUGUGUAGCAGGCAUUUUUCUGUUCAUUGCCAAGUGCACAGUUCACUGUUCGGUCACCUGUGUCGGCUGGUUUAGUGCCUUUAAUGCAGUUCUCUGCAUGCUCCCUAUUCUAUAAAGCUUACUUGGGGACUUCAGACAUGGCCUGUCUUAUUAUUCCCUAAGGAAGGGUAAGGCCUUUACUGUCCAGCUGGAAGGAUCACUAAUUAGAGCCCUUGCUUUGGCACAGAGUGUGUCAAGCCUGCAAGCCUUCCUGCUGGGAUCAAUGGCAUUCAUGUUUGCUUUCAUGAAUGCACAAUGGACAGGGAUCUUGGCAAAGAACUGCCUAUUUAGCUUGUGCUGAGAAGCUGAGUCUUCACAACAUUUUAAAGUAAUUGUAGAGGUAGAAAGGGAGCUAUAAGAAUACACCCUUAUUAUUCUGCUCAAAAAAAAAAAAAAAAAAAAAG